CCACAGCCAAUUAAGCCAACGAGAUAUCUUUCAUCAUGGGGACCUGGUGUGCAAUGGCUGCAAACAGCAUCCCUCCUUGGGAGGGUAUGUAGUCGGUGAUUUAUUGGAUUGCUCUAAGAGAAAUAGUUAUCU